AAGGAGGGCUUGGGGACGCGGCAGGUGGGGCCUGGGCACCGGUGGGAAAAUGAGGAAUAAGGGCAGGAGAGAGGCCUGGAGGCAGGUGGGAGCUUGUUGGAGGCAGGCGUGGCAGAGGAGGGUGGGUUUGGGGCAGGCCAGCUGGGGGUGAGGAGAUCCGGCUGAGUGGAGCUGCCUUUUUGCCCGGGAGCAGCUCAGCUACAGGCGAUAAUCCCAGGAGGUGAUUACAGCUGGAGGAAUUCUAAGCAGUCCACCUCUCCUGGUCAUGGUGUUUAAGUGCAUUGUGCUCCUGUCUGAACAGAGGAAAUCACUGAGAUCUUUCUUUCUCGUCCUAAUGCAUACCUCGGGUUCUAGUAGAAUCCUGCUCUUGCAUGGUGCCCGAACCUCAUUGCUGCUCCCUGUGUUCAGCUGGAAAUGGACAGACACCAUUUGUGACCGCCUGAAUAUCCUGAGUCACCGGUUACCAGCUGGCAUGUGUGCUGCGGUUUUCAUUUCUUCCUUUACGACUGCACUCCCUAGAGGAGACUUGCAACAAUUGCAGUUGUCACCUAAAGGGCUUUAACGGACUUGUCUGGAUCCACACAAUUGGUGGAUGACCUCCGACUACGUCUAUGGGGUCUUGACAUGUCACUGCUGGACACGUCUCUGAUCUGAACUGCAGCACUUCCAUUCUGUCCUGCUAAAAUAACAUCAUAUUAAAUGGUAUUAUUCUGCCCAUGCCAUCUCCACCUAAUGACUGAAAAGUUAAAUUUUUGCUAAACCAAGUGAAAUGUGCAUAUUAUAUUAAAUAUUACAUAUUAAUAUUUAAUUUACGUAACAUAUUAGUGGUCAGCUGAUUUCACUGGCAUGAAGAUUGUAAUGUAUUUAAUGUGGACAGAUUAAUGCUUGCCUGGGACCGAAUGAGUUAAAGCAGCUCCCUCUGCUGAAAUAUCCAGUGAAAUAGGGUGAUGCUCUGUAAAUCAAAUGUUUGUUUGCAACAGGUUGCCAGUGUUUGCCUAGGACAGUCCAUCCUGGCAGGGAUCCUGCUGAGAAGGAGAGAUGUGGGUUGUGCUGACUCAUGGAAAUGGGGGCAAGUUGCCUUAGUAGAGUAAGGAGUGGCUCCCCAUAGGAGCAGGACAGAGGUUUUGGUGUGAGAGCUUUUAACCUCUAGGAGGAAGUGAAGGGAAAAAUUACAAGAUGGACUUUGAAGUCUGACUUGAUUAAAUUCUGGCUCCUCUUGCUUCAUGACAGGCUUGCCCCAAAUGGGAUAGUGGUGUUAAAGAGUCAUGCACCUCUCUGAAGUGUCCUGGGAGAACACGCACCAUGGCUGAGGGCAGCUGUAGUCCUAAGAGGAGUUUUCUUGAGAGGGAUGGCUGACGAAAACUUAC